AAUAAACGCUGGCGGCGUGCCUAACACAUGCAAGUCGAGCGAGAAAGCUCCUUCGGGAGUUAGUAAAGCGGCGAACGGGUGAGCAACACGUGAGAAUCUACCCUUUAGUGAAGAAUACCCUCGAGAAAUCGAGGCUAAUACUGCAUACGUCCCUUCGGGGAGAAAGAUGGCCUCUUUGCUAUCGCUAAAGGAUGAGCUUGCGUACUAUUAGCUAGUUGGCGGGGUAAAGGCCCACCAAGGCAAUGAUGGUUAACCGGCCUGAGAGGGUGUACGGUCACACUGGAACUUAGACACGGUCCAGACUCCUACGGGAGGCAGCAGUGAGGAAUCUUGCGCAAUGGGCGAAAGCCUGACGCAGCGACGCCGCGUGGAGAAUGACGGUUUUCGGAUUGUAAACUCCUGUUAAGCGGGAAGAAAGCCUUGUUUCUAAUACAAGCAAGGUAUGACGGUACCGCUAGAGAAAGCACCGGCUAACUUCGUG
rnacentral:rRNA from 1 species